AACGAACGCUGGCGGCGUGCUUAACACAUGCAAGUCGAGUGCGCGUCCGUAGCAAUACGGAUGGCGCACGGCGCACGGGUGCGUAACACGUGGGCAAUCUGCCCUCCGAUGGGGAAUAACCCCGCGAAAGCGGGGCUAAUUCCGCAUAACAUUCCUUGGACCUCGGUCCGGGGACUCAAAGCCGUAAGGCGUCGGAGGAGGAGCCCGCGCCCGAUUAGCUAGUUGGUGAGGUAACGGCUCACCAAGGCAAUGAUCGGUAGCUGGUCUGAGAGGAUGGCCAGCCACACUGGAACUGAGACACGGUCCAGACUCCUACGGGAGGCAGCAGUGGGGAAUCUUGCGCAAUGGGCGAAAGCCUGACGCAGCGACGCCGCGUGGGGGAUGAAGCAUCUCGGUGUGUAAACCCCUUUCGACUGGGACGAAUACCUCGCAAGAGGGGUGACGGUACCAGUAGAAGAAGCCCCGGCUAACUACGUGCCAGCAGCCGCGGUAAGACGUAGGGGGCCAGCGUUGUUCGGAAUUACUGGGUGUAAAGGGUUCGUAGGCGGUGUGGCAAGUCGGGAGUGAAAUCUAUGGGCUUAACCCAUAGGCUGCUUCCGAAACUGCCGUGCUUGAGUGUGGGAGAGGCGCGUGGAAUUGCAGGUGUAGCGGUGAAAUGCGUAGAUAUCUGCAGGAACACCCGUGGCGAAAGCGGCGCGCUGGACCACUACUGACGCUGAGGAACGAAAGCUAGGGGAGCAAACAGGAUUAGAUACCCUGGUAGUCCUAGCCCUAAACGAUCAGGACUUGGGGUGCCACCCGGGUUCGGGUGUCGUCCCGGAGCUAACGCGUUAAGUCCUGCACCUGGGGAGUACGGUCGCAAGACUGAAAACUCAAAGGAAUUGACGGGGGCCCCCACAAGCGGUG
rnacentral:rRNA from 1 species